UACGAAGGGGGCUAGCGUUGCUCGGAAUUACUGGGCGUAAAGCGCACGUAGGCGGCUUUCUAAGUCGGGGGUGAAAUCCUGGAGCUCAACUCCAGAACUGCCUUUGAUACUGAGGAGCUUGAGUCCGGGAGAGGUGAGUGGAACUGCGAGUGUAGAGGUGAAAUUCGUAGAUAUUCGCAAGAACACCAGUGGCGAAGGCGGCUCACUGGCCCGGUACUGACGCUGAGGUGCGAAAGCGUGGGGAGCAAACAGG
rnacentral:rRNA from 1 species